rnacentral:rRNA from 1 species
AUACAGAGGGUGCGAGCGUUAAUCGGAAUUACUGGGCGUAAAGCGCGCGUAGGCGGUCUAUUAAGUCAGAUGUGAAAUCCCAGGGCUCAACCUUGGAACUGCAUCUGAUACUGGUAGACUAGAGUUUUGGAGAGGGAAGUAGAAUUUCAGGUGUAGCGGUGAAAUGCAUAGAGAUCUGAAGGAAUACCAGUGGCGAAGGCGACUUCCUGGCAAAAAACUGACGCUGAGGUGCGAAAGCGUGGGUAGCAAACGGGAUUAGAAACCCGAGUAGUCC